rnacentral:lncRNA from 1 species
UUCAUCGAACCCUUGAUUAUGCAACCAGAGGCAGUGGCACUCGUUGUGUCCUGUUUGAGAUGAAUGGUCUUUUUGUCCGUGUCUAUCCACUAUCACCUGGGUUUAUCUCCUGGCUGCUGAAGUGUGCCUGCAUUUUCCAGGUCAACUACUGUGACAUUAAUGUCUGGAUACAAAUUGGGUAGAUCUUGUAUGCCAUGCCCAACAUCAGAAUAGCUGGAAUGUACAGACUAAAAAAGCUCGGAAGCGCUUGCACUCUUUGGAGAAUUUUGUAUGAGCAUUUUCAGGCUGUUCUGGUGACACUAAAAAAUACUGGCUCUCCUGUAA